rnacentral:sRNA from 1 species
CCUCGUCGAUCAGCUGCGGGCAGAUGAAGUGCACGUGCGCGUCGAUGCCGCCGGCCGUGACGAUCUUGCCUUCGCCCGCGAUGAUCUCGGUGGCCGCGCCGAUGAUGAUGUCCACGCCCGGCUGGAUGUCGGGGUUGCCCGCCUUGCCGAUGCGCCAGAUGCGGCCGUCCUUCAGGCCGAUGUCGGCCUUGACGAUGCCCCAGUGGUCCAGGAUCAGCGCAUUGGUGAUGACGGUGUCGGCCACCUCGGCCGCCACGCGCUGCGACUGGCCCAUGCCGUCGCGGAUG